CUGUCUGUCUGUAGAGAAUCCAAUGACAUAUACACAACAUGUAUAAGCGUUAGAUUAGAAGUGGGAAUUGGGAUCUUCUCAUGUUUUAGUUGCACACUCAGACUGAAUGACUCAACUCGACAGGUCGCCAUUUGGUUUUCUCCUUGUCCAUUUUCGUUGGUUAGUUCUUUUCACUAUUUAAGCAGCUGGGCAUCUUCAGUUUGCAUGGAAGAUAUUCAUUUUUCUCCAGAAAUUGGAUCCAAGAUAUUUCUGAUCCCUGCAUCUUAUUGUUUUAUGGAUUCGAUACCACAUUUCUACACAUUACACCCUCCUCCCACGAUGACAAACAGAGUUAUUGAAGAAAAUGAGUUGUUGAAAAUGGUGGAACCUGAGGUAGAUAAGUUCAUUGACAUCAUCAAGAUUGGAAAAGUCUCACCCGUCCGAGGGCUAUCAGUGCUGGGAUUUCUGGUCUUGAUUGAAUAAAUCAAUUGAAAGAUAUGUAUGAUCAUUGCUGCUUUUUUCACUACUCUCAACUGUCUUUCCUAUUCAAUCACAACUGAAUAACUUUGCUAAUUAUUUUCUUUCAAGGAAACAUUUUGUUAAUCCAUAAUUAGAUUGUCGUAACCUUUGGUGUUACCCUUCUUAUUUUAAGCAUUUUGGAUAAUCGAAUAUUAAGAAAACCUCCAAAACCCGACACUGAUGAUCGAAUAUUAAGAAAACCUCCAAAAAAAAAAAAGCAUUUAGGAUAAUCGAAUAUUAAGAAAACCUCCAAAGCCGACACUGAUGAUUGGUCCUCUUUUCAACAAAAGAAACGAUUAAAAAAAAGUGUAUAAAUUUGAGGGUUAGGAAAAAGUGUGCAAAGUACCGAGGGUUUAUAUGAAAUGAGCCACCGCUCAAAUGUAGCUCCGCCCAUAACCAAAAAUUGGCACCACUGUCGAAGCCCCAUUCCUCCGGCGGCGAUAUACGUUCUCUUUGCCCUCUUCUUGCUGGGACUAUGCGUCUCUGCAUUCGUCCUCAUUGUAAUUCACAAUGCCCUCUUCUUCCUCCUCCUCGUCCUCUGUAUCUCAACUCUCCUCGCCGCUUUCGUGCUCUGGAAUUCCAGAAAUGCAGCCCUUUCUCUUUUCCUGAUUCUGAGCUCAGCUUGGCCACUCAUGGCCAGCUCGUUAAGAUUACUGGGGUCGCUCAAAAUUAGGAUUUUUGGAUUGGGGUCGUUAAGUCGGAUCGUUGGGUCGUGAUCGCUGAAUCCUUCUUUUAAGUUAGCUGAAGUUGAUCCUGAGAACACAGCAAACGUAAGACUAGCCGAGAAGCCCUCGGCGAUGCCCCUCCGAUACUUAAGUUAGAAAAGGUGGGGUUGAAAAUGAGAUCAAAUUAGAGCAUGAAUAUGGCGGUAAAAGUAAGUGCUGAAAUCAUAUUUGAAUAAUCAUAAAUGAGGGUAUUUAUAUUUGUACGGUACUCUCUACAUGUGCGACACGUGGCUCCAAUGAGAGCGGGCCACGUCACCCUCUGUCAGGCAUGCUACCGCCACUGUUGCACCUGUGCACUGGGGCCCACCUGCGCAGUCAUAGGGUGCAGGUAAAAUUGCUAAAAAUAGGGGGAUAUUUCUAUAAUUAUGUAAUUUCCCUCAUCAGUGGUAUUUAUAGGCGUUGUGAAAACCUGGGUGUAGACAAAUCAGGUUUGGAGAAUAGUGUGUUGCUAUGGUGAAUGAUGUAAAAUUUAUGACUAUAUAUGUUGAAAUUGCAUAUGUUAUCAGCUAGCUUGCUGAUAGGACUAUAAAUGAGCUCAACAUGGCUUAAAUCGUCCAAACCCAACUUCAUAAUCUAGUUGAGUUAUUAUGCUUUUAGACCAAACUAAAUUAAUCGACUUCAAUGCUUGAAUUUAGUUCAACCAAGCUGGUUCAGCUUGUAAACUUUUAAGUAUCAGCAUCGGAGGCUUGACUUAGUUCCACCGAGCAUGAUAUAAGACUCAACUCUCUUUUCGGUUGAGGUAUUUGUCAUUUUCAACGCUUGCAUUAAACUUGAACAAAAGAUGGAAAAGUGAAAACAAACCAAGUAGAGCUCAUCUUUUACAUGUCAUUUUCUUCUCUGGCAAUGGCAUACAUCGUUCAAUCCUCAUACAGUACUAUCUAAUAGAUCUACCGGGUUAAAUUCAGGCUGUCUCCUGAGGAGAUGUCUCCUUGGAAUCUUCGUAUGAGAAAAUUUCCCCAUUUGUCUAUGCCUCUACCUUGUUGUAUGAGUACAGGAGCUGUGCUUGAAGCCUUCUAAUGUGAAAGACUUGUGCGUCCUCUGGAGACUGGCAUAUUCAGAGGUAUGUACACUUUGACCUGAAUGCUGACCUUUGUUUCGGGACUUGCAACAUCCAAUAAUGUGCAAAUUACCUUAGAGAGGGAAACUAUUUCUUGGGCAGGCGCUAUUUUUAUUUCUAAUGUUUUCUUACACUUCCUUACAGCCUUAGAUCUGAUAUCUUUAUUUUGACUUCCCCUUUUACUUUAGGUUAGUUCAAGUAAAGAUUACUAAGUUGCCUCGUCCUCUAGGCUUUUAGUAUUGCCAGUCUUUUAUGCUCUUUCACUGCUAUGCAUCAAAAUAUGAAAUAAACAGCUUGAUCACAUACAUCUUACUCAUUAAACUUGAGAAAUACACCUAAUAUCUCUAGUAGCUCUAUUGAAAAUUGUGAAUAUUGUACUGACUAACUUCUUCAUAAUCCAUUGGAAGUAUAUUGAUACAACAACUACAUGGUAAAACUCCACUCGACAAGAACUUGAUAUGGUCUAGACUCCAAUUCUUGAUGGUUGAUGAAAUCUUCAAUCCUCAUUGAUUGAAAUGAUAAAGUAUUUGGUUUAUUGUUAGUGUUCGCAAUGCCUGGAGAAAGAGAAACAGUAGCGAUCGUCAAAUGUAACAUGAUGCUUGAAUUUCAAGUAUAGGACAGGCGUCCUUGCUGUAUCAAAUAGAACAUUACCCAGACACCUGGUACCGCCUAUAUAUAUUGCACCCAAGUUACCAGAAAAUGUCAUCUACGGCGAAUAUUUCUAUCUUGCUUUUUAUGUCGGUAUUUGUUCAAUUUUAUUAUUUUACAAUGUUCCUCAAAUGUUUCUGAAACAUUCUUUAUAUAACAAUUCACAGCAUAUCUUACAAACAAAAUUCUAUUUCAUCAAAGCGUAUGGGAACAUUGCAGCGGAGUAGAAUAACAGCUACAACUUACAAGCAUGUAAACACAAUUAAACUGACAAAAACUAAUAACCCUCAGCAAAAGCUUACCACUGCUACCAUCAUAAACGAUGACUAGGCAGUCACAAAAUAUGAAAGGUUGACGAUAUAAUAGAAUUCAAAAUCAAUUAUAUCAUAAUAAAUUACUAAUUCGAAGCACCCAAAUAUACUUAAUAUCCAGAUCCAAUAUAACUAAAGAAACAAUACUUGGUCCAUUCAGGUCAGUACAAGCUGUUUAAAAUUCAUAAA